AACGAACGCUGGCGGCAGGCCUAACACAUGCAAGUCGAGCGACCAUUUCGGUGCUAGCGGCGGACGGGUGAGUAACGCGUGGGAACGUGCCCUUUUCUGCGGAAUAGUCCUGGGAAACUGGGGGUAAUACCGGAUACGCUAUUUUGGGGAAAGAUGUAUCGGAGGAGGAGCGGCCCGCGUGGUAUUAGGUUUUUGGUGGGGUAAUUGCCCAUCACGCCGUAGAUCCCUAGCUGGUUUGAGAGGCUGAUCCGCGACACUGGGACUGAGACACAGCCCAGACUCCUACGCGAUGGAGCAGUGCGGAAUCCAAGACAAUGGGGGGAGCGCUGAAGGAGUUCGGCCGCGUGAGCGAUGAUGGUCGGAGAGUAGUAAAGCUCUUUCAGCUGGGGAGAUAAUGACGGUACCAGAAGAAGAAGCCCCGGCUAACUCCGUG
rnacentral:rRNA from 1 species